UAACAGGAAGCAGCUUGCUGCUUUGCUGACGAGUGGCGGACGGGUGAGUAAUGUCUGGGAAACUGCCUGAUGGAGGGGGAUAACUACUGGAAACGGUGGCUAAUACCGCAUAACGUCGCAAGACCAAAGAGGGGGACCUUCGGGCCUCUUGCCAUCAGAUGUGCCCAGAUGGGAUUAGCUAGUUGGUGAGGUAACGGCUCACCAAGGCGACGAUCCCUAGCUGGUCUGAGAGGAUGACCAGCCACACUGGAACUGAGACACGGUCCAGACUCCUACGGGAGGCAGCAGUGGGGAAUAUUGCACAAUGGGCGCAAGCCUGAUGCAGCCAUGCCGCGUGUAUGAAGAAGGCCUUCGGGUUGUAAAGUACUUUCAGCGGGGAGGAAGGUGUUGUGGUUAAUAACCGCAGCAAUUGACGUUACCCGCAGAAGAAGCACCGGCUAACUCCGUGCCAGCAGCCGCGGUAAUACGGAGGGUGCAAGCGUUAAUCGGAAUUACUGGGCGUAAAGCGCACGCAGGCGGUCUGUCAAGUCGGAUGUGAAAUCCCCGGGCUCAACCUGGGAACUGCAUUCGAAACUGGCAGGCUUGAGUCUUGUAGAGGGGGGUAGAAUUCCAGGUGUAGCGGUGAAAUGCGUAGAGAUCUGGAGGAAUACCGGUGGCGAAGGCGGCCCCCUGGACAAAGACUGACGCUCAGGUGCGAAAGCGUGGGGAGCAAACAGGAUUAGAUACCCUGGUAGUCCACGCCGUAAACGAUGUCUACUUGGAGGUUGUGCCCUUGAGGCGUGGCUUCCGGAGCUAACGCGUUAAGUAGACCGCCUGGGGAGUACGGCCGCAAGGUUAAAACUCAAAUGAAUUGACGGGGGCCCGCACAAGCGGUGGAGCAUGUGGUUUAAUUCGAUGCAACGCGAAGAACCUUACCUGGUCUUGACAUCCACAGAAGAAUCCAGAGAUGGAUUUGUGCCUUCGGGAACUGUGAGACAGGUGCUGCAUGGCUGUCGUCAGCUCGUGUUGUGAAAUGUUGGGUUAAGUCCCGCAACGAGCGCAACCCUUAUCCUUUGUUGCCAGCGGUCCGGCCGGGAACUCAAAGGAGACUGCCAGUGAUAAACUGGAGGAAGGUGGGGAUGACGUCAAGUCAUCAUGGCCCUUACGACCAGGGCUACACACGUGCUACAAUGGCGCAUACAAAGAGAAGCGACCUCGCGAGAGCAAGCGGACCUCAUAAAGUGCGUCGUAGUCCGGAUUGGAGUCUGCAACUCGACUCCAUGAAGUCGGAAUCGCUAGUAAUCGUGGAUCAGAAUGCCACGGUGAAUACGUUCCCGGGCCUUGUACACACCGCCCGUCACACCAUGGGAGUGGGUUGCAAAAGAAGUAGGUAGCUUAACCUUCGGGAGGGCGCUUACCACUUUGUGAUUCAUGACUGGGGUGAAGUCGUAACAAGGUAACCGUAGGGGAACCUGCGGUUGGAUCACCUCCUUACCUUAAAGAA
rnacentral:rRNA from 1 species